rnacentral:rRNA from 1 species
CCUACGGGAGGCAGCAGUGAGGAAUAUUGGUCAAUGGACGAGAGUCUGAACCAGCCAAGUAGCGUGAAGGAUGACUGCCCUAUGGGUUGUAAACUUCUUUUAUAUGGGAAUAAAAUGUUCCACGUGUGGGAUUUUGUAUGUACCAUAUGAAUUAGGAUCGGCUAACUCCGUGCCAGCAGCCGCGGUAAUACGGAGGAUCCGAGCGUUAUCCGGAUUUAUUGGGUUUAAAGGGAGCGUAGGUGGAUUUUUAAGGCAGUUGUGAAAGUUUGCGGCUCAACCGUAAGAUUGCAAUUGAUACUGGCAGCCUUGAGUACAGUUGAGGUAGGCGGAAUUCGUGGUGUAGCGGUGAAAUGCUUAGAUAUCACGAAGAACUCCAGUGGCGAAGGCAGACUACUAAACUGCCACUGACAUUGAUGCUCGAAAGUGUGGGUAUCAAACAGGAUUAGAUACCCGAGUAGUC